GAUGAACGCUGGCGGCGUGCCUAAUACGUGCAAGUCGAGCGAAUGGAUUAAGAGCUUGCUCUUAUGAAGUUAGCGGCGGACGGGUGAGUAACACGUGGGUAACCUGCCCAUAAGACUGGGAUAACUCCGGGAAACCGGGGCUAAUACCGGAUAACAUUUUGAACCGCAUGGUUCGAAAUUGAAAGGCGGCUUCGGCUGUCACUUAUGGAUGGACCCGCGUCGCAUUAGCUAGUUGGUGAGGUAACGGCUCACCAAGGCAACGAUGCGUAGCCGACCUGGGAGGGUGAUCGGCCACACUGGGAAUGAGACACGGCCCAGACUCCUACGGGAGGCAGCAGUAGGGAAUCUUCCGCAAUGGACGAAAGUCUGACGGAGCAACGCCGCGUGAGUGAUGAAGGCUUUCGGGUCGUAAAACUCUGUUGUUAGGGAAGAACAAGUGCUAGUUGAAUAAGCUGGCACCUUGACGGUACCUAACCAGAAAGCCACGGCUAACUACGUGCCAGCAGCCGCAGUAA
rnacentral:rRNA from 1 species